CUCCGGGUUACUAUUUCCCUUUAAAAAAAGUAGACACAAUGCAAAGAAUCGGCACGCUAAAGUCUAAUUCUGGUGUGCAAGUUGUUUGAAAAUACAUCCAAGGAAAGUAGAAACAUUGGCCCACGGUUCCCUUUUUUCCAAUGUCCCAACAUCAGUGAUGACGUUUUGGUCACAUGGUGGAGCCCUCUGUCAGGAUGUACAUGCAGGAUGGUGCCUGCUAUCAUAAAGCCUUUACCAACCAUUCUUGAAUACAUAUGUGAUUUAGCAGGAUGGAAGUGCAACUGGUCAUUAAUUAAGCAACAAAAAUGGUUGUGGCUAAUUGUUCAUGCAGUUGAAUUCUGCAACAAUUUCUUAUUGUUCGGGGCUUAGGUUUCUGUUCAUUUUUUCAUUAUUAUGUUUUUAGGCUUUGUUUUUAUGACUAACCCCAUGCCACACGGUGAAGCGUUCACAGAGAAUGACUGGAAAUUUGUCCAGCUUGGGCUUGCUCUAUUUUAGAACAUUUUAGCUAUUCAAGACAUCUCAUUGUAGUAGAAGGCUACGAGUCUGCAUGCCACUCGAUUUUUAUCUCUGAAUAACCAAUUGUUGGAGCUGUUAUUCUUCAAUGAUUUAGAAGAUGAGCUGUUAUUUUUGGGAAAAUGCUGUGUUAUAAUACACAAUAGUAUGAAUUGGGAUAUUCUACUACUGAAAACAGAGCACUCUGUUUUUAUGGUGUCCAAGCAUGAAAGCUAUUGUCACAUAGCGAGGUCUGAUUUCCAACUGUGAAUCAAAUUGCUUGAGGUACUUCAUAUGCAGAUUGCUGCAAGUCGCUUUGGCCAUCAAUCACCUUUAAGGGAUGAUAAUGAUGGGAAUUGGAUCAGUCAUACCAAGACUAACAAUAGAAAGUUUGUUAAAAAAAUUUUGUUUCUUUACUUUUUCCCCAUUGUACCUCAUUUUUAUUUAAUAUAUUGAGAUUUCAGUGAAGGUUUGGGUGUUUGUCACAAUGCCUGUUGAGGCAGCAUCAGAUGAUAUUUGAUGACAGAUAGGGUAUCUAUGGGGGUUGAAGGCUCCUUACAUGCGGCAACACAGUUCUUGAUUUUUAAUGACAGAACGGUAAGUGAACUUUAUAUGUAGUUUUUUCCUUUCUCAUGGGUUCGUUUGUAAGUGUCCCAAUUUUGAAACAGAUGAAUAAUGGAUGGUGAAAGUGUCCUACACAUCAUAGAACAAAGAACAAGGACCAAGGAUCAGGAGUUCCCUUUACUUCUUGGGAUCUGUAUUGACACACCCAUCUCAAAUUUCACUAUUUGCAUUUUCUUUUGGGAAGUUUUUAUUGAGGACAGAAUAAUAAAUUUGCAUAUAGCUCUGUGAUAUCUGUCUAACCAUGUUGGCUUUUCCAUUUUGUAGAUUUGCAUGUUAGAUUUAGUGCUUAAACUAUCACUGGAAUAUUCUAAAGAGCCUUAAACAACUCACAUCCUUCUUUACAAGUUAGAUUUAUGAUUAGACUGAUCAAGGGUUGACUCAUUUUCUCUUAAAUCUGAUCAAAUCCUUCGACUUGCAUACUAACCCAAAAGGUUUCCCCUUUCAUUUCAACAACUUAGAAGUUCAUUGUUGAUGAUGAUGUUACUGUUAUAUUUAUUAUUACUACAACUAAUUUGAUAAGCAAUUGUUGUUAUUAUCUUUCCUUCAUCUUACUUGGAGAGGUCGCUAUCCAGUGCCAUGUUCUACCAUUAC